UGGCGGCAUGCUUUACACAUGCAAGUCGAACGGGGUUGGGAGCUUGCUUCCAAUCUAGUGGCGAACGGGUGAGUAAUACAUCGGAACGUACCGUGUAGUGGGGGAUAACGUAGCGAAAGUUACGCUAAUACCGCAUACGAUCCACGGAUGAAAGCAGGGGACCUUCGGGCCUUGUGCUAUACGAGCGGCCGAUGUCUGAUUAGCUAGUUGGUGAGGUAAAGGCUCACCAAGGCGACGAUCAGUAGCGGGUCUGAGAGGAUGAUCCGCCACACUGGGACUGAGACACGGCCCAGACUCCUACGGGAGGCAGCAGUGGGGAAUUUUGGACAAUGGGCGCAAGCCUGAUCCAGCCAUGCCGCGUGUCUGAAGAAGGCCUUCGGGUUGUAAAGGACUUUUGUCAGGGAGCAAAACUUACUGGUUAAUACCUGGUGAGGUUGAGAGUACCUGAAGAAUAAGCACCGGCUAACUACGUGCCAGCAGCCGCGGUAAUACGUAGGGUGCAAGCGUUAAUCGGAAUUACUGGGC
rnacentral:rRNA from 1 species